AAGUCGUAACAAGGUUUCCGUAGGUGAACCUGCGGAAGGAUCAUCAUCGAAUUCAUACCCACCCCCCCUCACCGGGGGGUGGGCUCAUGAUAAACCCUUCUGUGCACUGUAAAACCGUUCACUUUGGCAGGCUUUGGUCGUGAGUGUUCCGCUCGCCCCAACUUCGCGUGCCCCUCCCAAGGGGGACGCGAGGCGGCCUGCCGGAGUCCUCUUCUGAAAAACUCGUUUGAGAACACGUCUGAAAAUUUCCUUUGAGAAAUCAAAGAACCGAAAACAACUUUCAACAACGGAUCUCUUGGCUCUC
rnacentral:misc_RNA from 1 species